GAUGAACGCUAGCGGCAGGCCUAAUAUAUGCAAGUCGAACGGAUAUAUGUUUUUCGGAAUAUAUAUUAGUGGCGCACGGGUGAGUAACACGUACAUAACUUGCCCUCAAGCGGGGGAUAGCCUUGGGAAACUGAGAGUAAUACCCCAUAGAAUUAUUGGACGGCAUCGUUUGAUAAUUAAAACUACGGUGUUUGGGGAUAGAUGUGCGUCUGAUUAGCUAGUUGGUGAGGUAACUGCUCACCAAGGCGACGAUCAGUAGGGGGCGUGAGAGCGUGGCCCCCCACACGGGUACUGAGACACGGACCCGACUCCUACGGGAGGCAGCAGUAAGGAAUAUUGGUCAAUGGAGGGAACUCUGAACCAGCCAUGCCGCGUGAAGGAUGACGGCCCUCUGGGUUGUAAACUUCUUUUGGAUGGGGCGAAAAAACGGGAUUUAUCCUGGACUGACGGUACCAUCAGAAUAAGCACCGGCUAACUCCGUG
rnacentral:rRNA from 1 species